rnacentral:tRNA from 1 species
UAGGCUAUAGUUUAAUAAAUAAAAUUUUUGAUUUGCACUCAAAAGAUGUCCUAAAGACUAGCUUAA